rnacentral:lncRNA from 1 species
UUGAAACAGGCUAAUAGGUUAAUUUGAUUGUCACAACUAAAAUUUGCAUCAUAUCACUAAUCACCAUUCAAAAAUAGCAUACAAUACACAAACACAUAAUCCAAGCAUACAAAUAUUCCAUGCUCGAUUUACUACAUAAUCCAUGAUCCAAACAUUCAAAUAUUCAAUCCCAUACUCAUUCCAUACACAAUUCAUUACACAACAUUAAUCCAACCAUUCAAUGCACUUUCCAUAAACAUUGAAAAAAAAUUGUACUCAAAUUCAACAUUCCAUAGCAAUAGUUCAUCACAAUCCAUAUUCCAUAACAAGCUUUCCACGCAUGCCAUAACAUUUAGCGACACAUCUCAUACUUUGCCAAGCUGCUGAAUUUGAAAAACACAUAGCAAAACUCUUCAUAAUGCAUUACACCCGACACAUUUUUAAACAAAACACACCAAGCCAAAACUCUUUAUAAGUAUACACCUGAAGAACUCAUGAUAGAAAAAUUCAUCAGAACAAUACACCCUGCAUUUUUUCAACGGAACACCAAGUGAAAGAUCAUUCCUAACUAACGAUUCCCACCUGCAAACUUGUUCAACAGACUACAAUAAGAGCUCUAUAAUAUUUAAUAGAGGCAACAUGCAUAGAAUCACAAUCACGCCAACUAAUUCGCAAAUUGAAAACUAACUAACUAACCUAAAUCUAACAGAAUGUUUAAACGGUUAACUAACCCAGGCUUCUCAAAUUUAACAGAGUUUUCACUCUGUUAAAUCAAGGAUCAUAUAUAAACACACUUCACAGUAAUUCUCGAGGAGGCUCAUUUCAUUAUUCAAUUUUUCGUUUCACACUUCAAUUAAGCUCUGAUUCAUUCUUCCAUUUUUUUCAUUUCACUCUUCAAAUUUCAUCUCAAUUCUCUCUUUCGGUUCAACAACGCGAGCAUUACAGAAUUGCAAAUAGAAAGAGGAGAA